rnacentral:rRNA from 1 species
UACGUAGGGGGCAAGCGUUGUCCGGAUUUAUUGGGCGUAAAGAGCGUGUAGGCGGCCAUGUAAGUCUGCUGUGAAAACUCGAGGCUUAACCUCGAGCUGUCGGCGGAAACUAUUUGGCUAGAGUCCGGAAGAGGAGAAUGGAAUUCCCGGUGUAGCGGUGAAAUGCGCAGAUAUCGGGAAGAACACCCGUGGCGAAGGCGGUUCUCUGGGACGGUACUGACGCUGAGACGCGAAAGCGUGGGGAGCGAACAGG